ensembl:lncRNA
GUAAACUUCCACCUGCUAUUCAGUAGGUCGUUUUAGAUCAUCUAUUGGAUAUAUAUGUGUGUGUCUACAUUAAUUCAAAUCUCUUAACUUACUUCACCUGUACCUAGAGCUUGAGGGCUCCUGCAGAGGGCAAGAGGCAUUCCAGGAACAUCGUGGGGUCACACUGCCUGUCACAUCCUCCCAGGACCCUGAGCCCCAAAAACAACCCAGCCUUGGGACCCUAGCCUGCCCAGUCUCCAGAGAUGUGAUACCAGCCAAGUGCCAUCCUGCCUCCCACUGCUUAACAAGAUCCUUGAGCUAGAUGGGCCCAGAAAAUCUCAUCCACUCCCCUUGGCUUCUUUGGAAUCAACACUGGCAUGCCUGCCAGACUUCAUGCCAUGGAAUGAGCUCUGGUCCUUAAAUAGCUGAUCCCAACUGAGAUUCCAGCUGCAAUUUACAGCACUUAAAGCUCCAGGAGGGCAGAGACUGUCUGUGGAUCUGGCAUGUGGCAGGGAGUCAGUGCUUAGAAAACAUUUGAAUGAAUGAACUUUACAGAAUUUUCUUUAGACCUUGAUGCUACUGGGGACUAGAGUUUGAGUGGAGGCUAACCUGGUUAGUUUUAUGCUUUUUGGAAGAUCGUUUAGGCAACUGUGGGAAAACAGGAGAAUGGACAGUAUGUCUGAGGAGCUUCCUCUGCUCGUGACUGAAGGGGAAUCAGAUUUGAACCUGGUACCUGAAGAUGGAGGAGGCCACCUGGAAGGAACAAAGAGCAGCCGCAAAGGGCUGAGAAGGAUCCCUGGCCAACAGGAAAUGAGGAUCCCAGUCCUGCAACCACAAGGAACUGAAAUCUGCCAACAGCAGUAACGAACUAGGAAGAGGAUCCCAAAUGCCAGAUCACAGCAGUUGGAAACUUUGAUUUCACCCUUGUAAGCACUGCUCAAAGAACCCAAUCAUGCCAUCCUGGACUUCUAACCUGCAGACCUGGGAGAGAAUGAAAGGAUAAGGCACUAAGUGGUCAUGAAGUGAAAGUCGCUCAGUCAUGUCUGACUCUUUGUGGCCACGUGGACGAUACAGUCCAUGGAAUUCUGCAGGCCAGAAUACUGAAGUGGGUAGCCUUUCCCUUCUCCAGAGUAUCUUCUCAAACCAGGGAUCAAACCCAGGUCUCCUGCAUUGUAGGUGGAUUCUUUACCAGGUGAUGAAAGCGUGGUAACCUGAGAAUAUAGUGACCAUUGCCCCACUCUGUGAAUAUGUUAAAACCACUGAAUUGUAUACCGAAGUCUUCUCCAGCUGGAGCCAGAGUCAGCACAAAAGCAAAGGAGCUGAAGCCCAUGGAGCUGUGGUGAAGGAAGUGGCCCAUAUGGGAGUCAGCCACAACAGUCAACAUAUUUGCAAUUAACUUUUGUAGUUUCCACUUUGUAGGCCCAGACCCAAUAAAUAAAUAGAAAAAUUCAUGUAAUUUAAACAACUUUCAAAAUUCAUUUUGUGUCUAUCCUCUCUAUUCUACGCUGUUGUUACUGGGCUCCUUGCUGAUUUGAGAACCUCAUUGAUUUAGAAGAUGCCCUCAAGUCUGUAAUUCAGACCAAAUAACAAGAGUUCCUUGUGUCAAAGGGACUUCCUGCUGGUUCCAAACAGCCUGGUGACCUGCCUUUGUCAGAAGCACUCUUGAGUACAAAUUGUGUAUUGAGACUGACCCCCAUUUGUCUGCAGUUCUUUAUAAAGUAUGUUUCCUUUGAGCCUCAAAAUCACUUAAUCUGAGAUCUAAUUUAGACCAAAGAACUCAGAAGCUCAGAGCCCCCUUGUCCUACAGUAGUCAGGAGCACUGGAAACAAUGUACAGUUGGAAGUGUUGACUUUGUGGCUAAGAUUUUAGCUGUGUGAUUUCAGUGUUUUUGUGUCUAAACC